GGGCAUCUAUAAGAAAUCUAUAAAUAACAAAAAUGAGGAAAAAUACAUAAAAUAACCUGGAAGGUCAUUACACUGGAAUGGCAAGUAAUAGGGUAAUUGAUGAAAGAUAAUAAAUAUGAAGGAAACGGUCAUACACUGGAGCUACUAAGUAACAACAUUCAUUAUAUAAAUCUAUAUCCAUAUAAAUAUAUACAUACACACAUACAUAUAUAUAUGUAUAUGUGUGUAUGUAUGUAUAUA
rnacentral:lncRNA from 1 species